GUGGUAGAAAAAUAAAUACGAUACUCUGGAUAAUUUCCCGGGUGAAGUGCUCACCGAUAUCCGUGCGCUUGCGGAUCAAUUCCUUAUUGCGUUCCCAAAUAUCAACAAGCAUUUCUGGCGCCGUUGCCGGGGAGAAAGACGGUUGCUGAGAUAACCUGAGUCUUACUACUAGCUUGUAUCUAUAUUUUUAUCUUUUCUUAUCUUUUAUAUUCUUUAUUUAUUUUCUUUACUCUUACCUUAUGGAAAACAAAAUUCUAAAUCGAUCCAUGAGUCUGCA
rnacentral:lncRNA from 1 species